GAUGAACGCUGGCGGCGUGCCUAAUACAUGCAAGUCGAGCGAACAGACGAGGAGCUUGCUCCUCUGACGUUAGCGGCGGACGGGUGAGUAACACGUGGAUAACCUACCUAUAAGACUGGGAGAACUUCGGGAAACCGGAGCUAAUACCGGAUAACAUGUUGAACCGCAUGGUUCAACAGUGAAAGACGGUCUUGCUGUCACUUAUAGAUGGAUCCGCGCCGCAUUAGCUAGUUGGUAAGGUAACGGCUUACCAAGGCAACGAUGCGUAGCCGACCUGAGAGGGUGAUCGGCCACACUGGAACUGAGACACGGUCCAGACUCCUACGGGAGGCAGCAGUAGGGAAUCUUCCGCAAUGGGCGAAAGCCUGACGGAGCAACGCCGCGUGAGUGAAGAAGGUCUUCGGAUCGUAAAACUCUGUUAUUAGGGAAGAACAAAUGUGUAAGUAACUAUGCACGUCUUGACGGUACCUAAUCAGAAAGCCACGGCUAACUACGUG
rnacentral:rRNA from 1 species